UAGACCGCCUGGGGAGUACGGCCGCAAGGUUAAAACUCAAAUGAAUUGACGGGGGCCCGCACAAGCGGUGGAGCAUGUGGUUUAAUUCGAUGCAACGCGAAGAACCUUACCUGGUCUUGACAUCCACAGAAUUCUGCAGAGAUGCGGAAGUGCCUUCGGGAACUGUGAGACAGGUGCUGCAUGGCUGUCGUCAGCUCGUGUUGUGAAAUGUUGGGUUAAGUCCCGCAACGAGCGCAACCCUUAUCCUUUGUUGCCAGCGGUCCGGCCGGGAACUCAAAGGAGACUGCCAGUGAUAAACUGGAGGAAGGUGGGGAUGACGUCAAGUCAUCAUGGCCCUUACGACCAGGGCUACACACGUGCUACAAUGGCGCAUACAAAGAGAAGCGACCUCGC
rnacentral:rRNA from 4 species